UUGUAGGGAAUUACUUGGUGGGGGUUUUAUUCCUGUUAUGAUUCCGUGUUCCGUGUUCCAUGUUUUAUUACGAAUCUGUGUGCUUUCCUCUGCUUUCCUCUGUUUUAUAUUACUUAUGGGUGCCGUAUUUAUGUUAUGUAAUCUGCUUCUGUGCUUUACUAUGUGUUUGUGUGGUAUCUCGUGCCUUGAGCCGGGGGUCUAUCGGAAACAGCCUUUCUACUUCAUCAGAGGUAGAGGUAUGGACUGCGUACAUCUUACCCCCCCAGACCCCACUAGGUGGGAAUACACUGGGUUUGUUGUUGUUGUUGUUGUGUUGUUUUAGGAUCUCAGGCAAGACAAAAUGGCAAUAGAUAAGCGGAAAGACCAGAAAGAUGAGAGUACUUAAGACCAAGGUGAUUAACGAAGCGGAAAGACCUAUUAACGGUAUCACUUUAUGUUCCUUACGAGAGCGACAGACUAAGAAAUUUGGACAGACUAAGAAACUUGGACCAACAAUAGGUUCAGAAAUCCUACAAUUGCUAGUUUCUUCAUUUUACAGUAUGGUGUCAAUCAAUCAACCCUAAAGUUUAUUUUUUCUCAUACAAUGAUGUCAAUCAUAAGAUCUGGUUUUGGAGAUAUCGCUCACGCACGUUCUGCUGCAGAAGGCUUCAUGCGCUUGUGGUGCGGCCCUUCCCCAGACAUCCCGCAUUGCGGGAACUUAGUGCACCAGGAUUCCCUUUCCCUAGCUUUUUUAUAACCGGAAAAUUUCCAAGGGUCUGUUGCUCACAGUUCAAAACUUGGUAGAUAACCGGCCAGCCACUCUACUCCACUUAACAUACCAGACUUUUGUCUGCAACAGGGUUUGAACCCAUGACGUGCGCCUACGUCAUACCUACGCGCUGAGCUCUUACCCCGAGACCAAAGCUCUGGGGAAAAAUAUUAAGUCCCUAUUAUAAAAGCACUAAUGAUGUAACCAUGACCAUGCACACGAUCAACUUGUUUAACCUACAAUAUUUCCCAUGUCACCAGUACUAAUUAUAUGAAAAACACAUUAUAAAGAGAAAGUUCAAAUGCACCAAGAGGUGUGCUCUAAUGGUCCAUGAAGCGGAGGCAUACUUUGGAGAGUAGGGUUUCAAAUCCCAAAAGAAACAAAAAGCAUUAGUCAUCUGCCUAAGCGUUGGAGGGCCGGCAGAUUUACCUAAUAACUGUGCUAGCAACAAGCACCUGGUGGAUAGUUGGAGCCCCCACAAGCUGGCAUGGACACCACAACAAAUAAAGUUGAACAAGUAGAAAAUGGAAUAUUGGGUACCUAGCCUUUGGCACCUCUAUAACAUCUAUUUUUUUAUUACAACAACAACAACAUACCCAAUGUAUUCCACAUAGUGGGGUCUAACACCUAUUUUUGUAUUGAGUUAUGAUAUUCCUAUCUCAACAUUCCCAUAAGUUGUUCAUUUGUCGCAUACAAAUGACAUAGUUUACUGGAAAAAGAAAAUGCCAUACCCAAGCAACAGAUGUUCAAUUAUUGGAAAGAGUCGAUCACUCUUAGAUCGAUGAAUAUAGAAAUUAAGCAAAUGAUUGUACAGAUUUUUAUUGAUAUCUAAGGAUUUACGUCAAAAAGGGAGCCUUGGAGUAACCGGUAAAGUUGUUGUCACGUAACUAGGAGGUCAUGGGUUUAAGCCUUGGAAACAGCCUGUGGCAGAAAUGCAUGGUAAGGUCGUGUACAGUACACCCUUGUGGUGGGGCCCUUCUCCGGACCUUGCGCAUAGCGGAAGCUUUAGUGCACCGGGCUGCCUCGUUUUUUUUUUUUAAUUCAAGGAUUUACUUCAAAAUUUAUUACUUCUCAUCUUGAAAUAUAUGAUACUUUCUACUUCGACAUACCAAAGUUAUAUCAUUCCACUAGUAAUACUAUUACAGGCAACUUCCACAAUUUUCAUAAUUCAAAUGCAUUCCCCUCUUUGUUAUUCUUCUUUCUUUUUUGAUAAAUAACUUUGAUGUGAUAGAUUUUCUAUCAAACUAAACUUUCAACACACCAGCUGAAUAUUUUCUUUUGAUGCCACUAAUACAAUAUAUAAGUCUUUUAAAAUCUCAAAUUCAGUUUCCAGUCAAAUACCCUUGUAUAAAAUGGCGGUGGGAUAUGUUUAGGUGGUUUGGCACCCCUUGAAUAAUGCCAAAUAUUGUGAAAGAGUUGAUGUUCAGUUGGAAGAGCAUGAGGAGGAGGACAAGAUGUAGGGCCUGGAUUGUGGUUCCGCUUGCUAUAAUGUGGGUUGGCUGGAGAGGGAGAAAUAGGAGAGCUAUUGAAGGAGUAGAGUCGAGUUCCUCCCAGUCGAGGAGUAGUUCUGAUCCCUCAUUUUCUUUUGGUGGAAACAAAAAUUUCUCAGUUGGGUGGAGUAUGUAGAGAACCAUGUUUUGUAGAUUAUUUACUUUUUGGUAUACCCCUUGUAUAUGGGCAGUUCAGCGAUGUUUAUAAAUGAAUAUACUAAUACUUUUACUUGAUCAAAAAAAUAAAAUGGACAAAGGGAGCAACUAUUAAGUAAUUGGAAUACAAAUUACAGGACAUGCACAGAUGCUGAUUCUAAGAAAUUGGUUUUUCUAACCAAACCUUGGUUCCAACAAGCUUUUGAUGAUCAUGAAAAGUUACCUAGCUUAGAAAAUAUGAACAACCAAAAUAAGGCGACAACAACAACAACAAAUCCAGUAUAUUCCCACAUAGUGGAGUCUGGGGAAGGGAAAAUGCAUGCAGUCCAUACCACUACCUCCGAAGAAGUAGAGAGACUGUUUCCGAUAGACCCCCGGUUCAAGACAAAAGGACAGUAAAUAAGGUCGUAAUAAAACAUGAAACAAGAUGAAAUAACAGAGAUACGACACCCAAAAAGUAACAUUAUACACUAACAAACCAAAGGCACACACCUCCCUCCAACCCUCCAAACUAGGAGCUCCAACCUAAGUACAAAGCCCUAAGACUACCAGCCAAGCUACACCAAAGCACUUCUAAUUAAUGAUUACGACUCACCCACACGCACUAGCCCUCUAUCCUAAUUUGGGUCCUCCAUACCUUCCUAUCUAGGGUCAUGUCCUCCAUAAGCUGUAACUGCUCCAUAUCACGUCUAAACACCUCUCUCCAGUAUUUUUUCGCCCUACCUCUACCCCACUUGAAACCAUCCAAGGCCAACCUCUCACACCUACGAACCGAGGCAUCAGUGUCCCUCCUCAUCACAUGCCCAAACCAUCUCAGUUCUCACUUCCGGCAUCUUAUCUUCCACCGACGUCAAUCCCACCUUCUCCCGAAUAGUCUCAUUCCUACCCCUAUCACCCCUAGUAAGUCAACACAUCCAACGCAACAUCCUUAUUUCCGCUACCUUCAACUUUUGGAUGUGAGAGUUUUUGACUGGCCAACACUUCGCUCUAUACAGCAUAGUCGGACUGCAGCUUUAUAGAAUUUGCCUUUAAGCUCAGGAGGCACCUUCUUAUCACACAAAACUCCCGAGGCGAGCCUCCAUUUCAUCCAUCCUGCCCCAAUACGAUGAGAGACAUCCUUGUCAAUCUCUCAAUUUCCCUGAAUCAUAGUCCCAAGGUAUUUAAAACUAUCUCUCUUACAAACAACUUGGGAAUCCAUCUUCACUACCAACUCGUCCUCCUGCCUUGAGUCAUUAAACUUGCAUUCCAAGUACUCCGUCUUGGUCCUACUCAACCUGAACCUUUUAGACUUCAGGGUUUGUCUCCAAACCUCCAAUUGAUCAUUAACAUCCCCGCGUAUCAUCAAUCAAAACUACAUCAUCCGCAAAUAGCAUACGCCAAGGCACCUCUCCUUGGAUACGUCGCGUCAACACAUCCAUCACCACGGCGAAUAAAAACGGGCUAAGAGUUAGAUCCCUGAUGCAACCCUGUCAAGACAGGAAAAUGCUCUGAAUCUCUUCCCACCAUCCUCAUCCGAGUCUUUGCUCCAUCAUACAUGUCCUUAAUCGAUCUGAUGUACGCCACCGGGACCUCUCUCGCCUCCAGGCAUCUCCAAAGAACCUCCCUAAGGACUUUGUCGUACGCUUUUAAGAGUUCUCCUAAAAAUAAUUUAAUUUGCUUUGUAUGUAGAAGUUGGUGCCAUCACAUUUUAUCUCCCAAUUUAUCACCUAAUAUGUCCAAAAUCAAUCCUCUUUCUCAUAAUGAAACCAGUUUAUCAAACAAUUUUUUUUUAUCAUUAUCAAAUUAGCAAAUGGAACUAAUGGAAUUCUUUGAAUUACAUUGAUGGGUUCCUUUUGCCUCAGAGCAAAGAUAUGUUUCUGGGCUAUCUUUUUUAUAUGAAAAUUACACUCUUUAGGGUAAGACAUUUUCAGACAUAAGCGUGUUCACAGAUGCACAAGCAAGAUGAGAGGAUGGGAGUAUAAUACCAGUUGUAUGCGCCCUUUCAUCGGUAUACGUAGGCGGCCUCUGUUUGUUUGUGAACCAUUAAUGCUAGAGUUCCUGAUUUGUGAGCCUUUACCGUCACUACCUGGUCUUCCAAAAUCUAUUGAUGAGUAAUACAGCAAGAAGUUAUCACCAUCUACACUAGUUACAGCAAAUGGAAGUUUCUGAGGAUGAGGCGAGAAAUUUCCACCAGUGAUGCUAAGGAUGGCAAGAAAACCAUCAAUUCUCUGCAUAAGCAUAUUAUAAUUUGUUAACAAACGCAAUUUGUCAAACCAUUGCCAAGAUCAUGGCAUGAAUACUUAAACAAAGAGAUCAAGGAAAACUAAUGCUCAAAAUGAAAACCAAGGAUAAAUUGGAUGACAUCUGAAAGAAAACAAAUAGCAUCUUCAAGAUAAUUGAGGCACUAAGACCAACCUGGCUCACUACACUGGAUGUCAAACGACCAGAUAAGACUGACUCUUCGAAUGAACCGACUAAGGACCUUUUCACAGACAGUCCACUAAGACUUCUACCAAAUCUUGCACAUUGAUUUGUAGGAACUGAAUUAUGUGCCUUGGACCGCCUCAUGAAACUUAUACUUUCAGGUGUGGAACGUUCAAAGUUCAUCUCAAAAACAUCAACAUCUUGGAAAAGUUCAUUUCCUGUUUUACGAUACUCUUCCUUCCGCGGAGAUAAAAUGCCUGAAAAACUUCGAUCAAGUGAGUAUUCCACAUCCUUCAAAGUUAAGUAGUUAUCAUCAUGAUCCUCCCAGGAAUUCCUAAAAGUUUCAGCACGUCUCAACCUCAUAUGAGAUUUUGGUCCAAGAGGAGAAAGAGACAAUUGUGGAGAGAAUGUAUUUUCUCCGGGUAUGUCCAUUAUCCCAUCUUUCAAUUGUGUUUUUAUCAUAUGAACUCCAAAUUCUGACCCAGGGGAAGGAGGAGUAAAAAUGAACUCAGAUUCAGGGCUCCCGUCAUUGAACAAAGGACCAUCUGUGACAAAAGGGGAGACUUCUCCACAGGUUUCAUUUGGCGAACAAUUCCCCCUGGGGAAAGAUGGCAUUAACCAAUUUUUAUUACUAAAGUUGUUUGUGUUGCUUAUAUGAGCCUUUUUAUGUUCUUGUGAAGGAGCACCAUAUUUAUCAAGAGUGAAGUUUGAAUUACUUCUAACAGUACUACCACCGAUAUCCAGAGAUUCACCUGCAAAUUUAUCUGGAAGAACCAUACCAUUCAAAGGAGACAACAAGCGUUUCCUAACUAAUGAACCUGUAGUCUCAUUCAUUUUGUCAAUGUUCGGAACCACAGUAGAUGAAUUGACACUAUCCGAUGGAUUUGCUUCAAAUAAACUAGCUUGGCUUUUUAUCGCACUUUUUGAUUCAAACCCAACAAUCCUUGAUGCAGGACUCUGUGUAGUCCUUCCACCAUUAUGACUGAAGAAGCCAUGAUGAUUUUCUGCAGAAUCAAUCCUCAAUUUAUGCAUGCUUGUCAUACCAUCUUUAUGAAGACCAAGAAUAUCACCAUCCCUCGAUACAUCCCUAGACGAGACGAAUGCAAAAUCUGCUGAUGUCCUAUUGCUAAGGCAACUUAUGUGCAUUCCACUCAUAUCACAACUACUCAUACCAGCAAAUCUAGCAGGAGUUUGAACGAAUGUACUCAAUGAUGUGGCCACUUCCUCAGCAAUAUUGCCGGAGGGCAUUUGAGGCAAUCCCAUAUCCGACUUAAUUCGCUACCUCACACAAACUUCUCGUCUAAAUUUCAAUCAAUAUCUAAUCUCCUACGCUACCUAAAUCCUACCUCCGGCCUUACACCAAUUCAAUAUCUAAAUUCCGAGCAGUUCAUUAUGCUACCACCGCAACAAACCUAAAUGCAGUUGAACUAGGUUGAAGCUACAACAUUAUCUAAUCAUCACACUAAACAACCACUAUCUAUCUAUCAACGGAACUCCACGAUACGUCUCAUCAAACAAUCCAACAUCUACAUUCAACCCGACUACCAAGUUACCGCAACAACCAUUCGCUUUACACAACUGAAAUACAUCAAACCGAUAGUCCAUGCUUCCUUAUACACAACUAAACCAAAUCCUGAAAAAUAAAAAAGUCGAAAAAUCAGUCCUAUAAGAAACACAUUGAAAAUGUAUUAUCCAUUUUACAUACAUUGCUACGAUCACUCACUCAUUUAAUAAACAAAAUUAAAAUUUCAUUUCCUACUCAAAAAAUAUAAAAAAGAGAUAAACCUCCAAUAUUUAUCAAUACAUGUUUCAAGUAAUCCGAUCUACCAAAAAUACUGAUCUAAUCAAUAAUCAAUAAUCAACAACUUACAAAUUACAUAUGAGCUAAAAAUUAGCGAUCAAUUACAACUCCCCCUUAUUUUCCUCUGAAAAAACCAUUAAAAAUAACUGAAAAAAUUACGUUCAACAUUCAAAAUUCCUGUUAACAAAACUUGAUCAUCUUUUAGUUAUCAACUCCUCCAUCAAUAACCAAAACCCAGAAAAACUUUCAAAAACAAAUCCUCAAAAAAUAAAAAAAAAUAAAAACUAGAUUGAUGAUUUGAAGUGUUCAACCACAAAGGAAAAAUGGAAAAAAAAAUGUACCAUUAAUCAUCUCUAAUUUUUCAACUUAAGAAGAAAGGAGAGGUACAAUUUUUUUUAUAUGUAUAUAUAGGGAAAAAUUAGUAGAUAAAAGAGAAAUGAAAUUUCUCAAUUUCUCUUUUUUGUUUUUGUAUUUGUUUUUUUCUUGUGGUUCUUGGCUUUUGUAUUAGUUAUAGUUCUUCUUGUUUACCUUUUAACUGCGCCUCCUUCUCCCUUUCUCUCUUUUCAAAGUCUCCCAAACCAUUUAAUUUCUGUGAAAUACAACUUACAUUGGGCUUUGUCAUUUGGGGGAAAAAGGAUGGAGGCUAACCUAACUUUUGGUACUCUAUGCAUUAUUGGUUGUACUUUGUUUGGUGUAAUUAGAAAGAAAAAAAAAAUUGUAACCUAUAUUCUUGGUUUUGUUUUUGUUGUUAUGUUUACACUUUAUUUGAUUUUUAGAUUUAGUAAUAUUUAUGGUAAACAAUUAAUUAGCUAGAGCGUAGUGGUGGAAAAAGAAGGAAAAACUUUUUUAAAAAAUUGUACUGUAAAAUAAAUUUUAGAUAAUUAUGAAGCUAUAAAUCAGUGUUGUUAAGUAAAACAAAAACUUUAAAAAUUAGAUUAUGUCAAAUAUAGAAAAAUAAGCAAUAUUUAUUUUGAAACAAACUAAUAAAAAAAUGGUUGGUUCUUUAAUUGUUGCCUAAACAUAUGUAUGAUUGCUACAAGAGAAAGAUAGGCAGAGAAGAAAGCAACAAGUUAGGUACUUCUACAACAAUUUGAGGAAAGAAAAAACUGAAAAAUAAGAUUUUAAGAAAGCGAAGCAACAAAAGAAAAAAGGUGUCUUUUUUUUUUCUUUCUAUUAUAUGUCUAAAUUAUGGGAAGGAAAUGCAGUAUUUAACGUUAAAAACUAACUAUAAAAGUUGAAUUUCGUCUUAAUUUUUGUUUGAGUUAUGUAAAAGAAAUAUGGUACUUGACAUUCGAAAUUAAUCAUAAUAUUGAAUUUAUUUUUAUUUUAUGUCUGAAUUAUAUGGAGGAAGUAUGAUAUUUGAUAAUCGAAAUAACUAUAAUGUUGAGUUUUUUUCUGUUCUAUGUUUUAAUUAUGUGAAGGAAGUAUGAUAUUUAACAUUCGAAAUACCUAUAAAAGUUGAGUUUCUUGAUCUUAAAUAUGAUAUUUUCGAAACUAACUAUGGAAGUUGAAUUUCAAUUUUGUCACUCGAUGUUAACAUAAUUUGUUACUCCCUCCGUCUCAAAUUAUGUGUCGUCAUUUUCUUUUUAGUCCGUCUUUUCUUAUUUGGUAAAUUUUUAAAGAAACAAUUACAAUUUUAUCCUUAGUGAUCUAACUUAAUUUUAAAUACUAUUACUCAUUUUUUUAUUUGUUUUUCAAUGAAAAGUGAUCCCACUUACUCUUUUUUUUUAAGAAGGAUAAUUUUGUAACUUUAACAAAAUCAAUACUUAUUUCUUAAAUAUUGUAUCUGAUCUAAUGGCGAUACAUAAUUUGAGAUGGACAGAGUAGAAUAUUAGAUGAUAGAAAUAGAUAAAGAGUCAGGAUCUAAUUUGAAAUUUGAAUGAUAUUGGGAUUGCCACUGAAAAAUAGGAGUACUACUAAACCAAAGUAUGAUGGGUUUACGAUUUUUGCGGAAUAUUGCUUUUCAUAGUCAAAUCUUAAGAUAAUUUCAUCAGAAGGCGUACCACAUAAUUAGCACACUAAACUGGUUAAGAUAUUUUAUUUACUGGCUUGAAUUAAGUUAUUUUUCCAUUGAAUACUUUAAUUCAAAAGAAAUUUGUGUAUGUUUUCAUUAGUUCGUUAAGUACUUAAAUCAACUACGUAGAUUUAGUAAAAAUAGAAUCUCUAAUCUCCGAUCCGUCGUAUUUGCCUACAUUUGUUAUUAUCUUACAUAUUUUUACUGCUUAUGAUAAAAUAUAUUAUUUACGUAAAACUCACUUACUUUAACUUAUGCACAAUAUUUCAUAACGUCAAAAUUUUUGAACUUAACCGAAUAUUUAGACCCUAAAGGUUAGAGAAUGGAUAUUGAACUUGAGAAGGGCUAUCGCAUAUUGGUAAGUCAUGGUACACAAUAGAACUAAGGGUGGACCUACAGUCAAACUUUUGAUGCUCCGACAUCCAUUAAAUUUGAUGCAGAUUAAGUAUAAUUAUAUAAAAAUGUAUAAAAUCCAAUAUAAGAUUUAAAAAAAUAUCCAAUAAUAGUCGAAAAGAUAGUUAAAUGUUUUAAUUUUCAGAUAAAAUUCUAAAACUUUAAAUAUCAAUAUGUAUGUUCGAAAUUUUCGUACUCCUAUCUUUAAAUCUUGAAUCGACCAUUGAGUAGAAGUAGUAUUCUAUUUUCUUGUUUUGCUUGUUGGCCUUUAAAGAUAAAGGGGGGUCACAACAACUCACAAGGAUGCAAUACGUGGGUGUUUUUUUUCUUUUGUUAUAGAGAGACUCUAUCCAAGUUGCGAGUUGUCUCUUAUUCGUGGGCAUUUUGUGGCGGUGGCUCUACCAUCUGCCUCUGCUGAUAGUGAUAUUGCCCUUAUCCCCUCUUAGCACUACUUUUUUCUAUUUCAAUUCAAUAUAUAUACCUAUAUGGUUUUCAUAACAUUACUACAUAUCCAUCCACCUAAUAGAUUGAAUAGAAUUGAACCACUCGAUUUUAUUGUUGCUAAAUUCAUCGGGUCAACUCUCAAUUUAAGUACUCCUUCCGUUUCAUAUUAUAUUGUUGACUUGACAUAUUUGUUAUUGUUGACAUGAUAGUAUAUUUUAUAAUAUUGAAGAAUUUAUAUCGAAAUAUAUAUAGCUUCUUCUUUAAAAUCAAUGUGUGUUAGUACUACCUAUUUUCAAAUGAUUUCUAACAAGAUCACUUGUGGACAGUGGCGGAUCCAACUCAUAGUGAGGGGUUCGGUGAACUUUCUUCGGUGGAAAAUUAUAUUAUGUAUACAAGCUUAAAAUUAGUUUUCAUGUAUAUAUAGUUAACGCUGAACCCCCUUCAACUAAUUAUUUCGUUCAUAUUUUUUGAUUUUGAAUCUCCUUAAUUAAAAUGCUGGCUCCGUCAUUGCUUGUAGAUUCUUGUAAAUUAUAUACAACCACCACACUUUAAUAUGGAAGGAAAUUUCAGCUCAAAAUAUAAUGUCUAGAGUGAGCUCAAGUCCUUUUAUAGUAAAAUCAUGUGACAUGUAACUCUUGUUCCUUCAUUAAAGUGUUCCAAAACUUCUCACUUUGUGGUAGGUAACUCUUAACUUAAUUAGAGAGUUGUGAAUGAGUUACAUGAACUUCAUUCACGAACUUGUAAUUUAUGCAUCAUCCAUUAUGAGUGCAUGUAUAGUAGUUCGAAUAAAUAUUAAUCUUCUUGAUGAUGUUUCUAAUUCUAAACUUUAUGUAGUUAUUAAGUUUAUAAUAGAAAAAAAAAAAAAAAUAGAACUCUUUUGAUUUGUUAAGAUAGACAAAUAAGAUGAAAUAAAGUAAUAUUUUAUUUGAUUCAACACAGAUAUUAAAGUGGAAAUUGAAGAAUGAUUAAUCGACUGAUUAUUUGAAUUUUCAGUUCAUUAAUAGUUAUAUCCAUUUUCUCUUCCCCUAAUGGAAUUGAAAAUUUAGUGACUUAAAUAGGUAUAUUGUCCAUGACCAAAGAGGUGGUUGAUAAUUUUUACAACAUUCUCUGAUAAGAAAGUAAUAAGCCCACGUACAUUUCGUUAUUAUAUUUAGGAAUAAUAUUGUAGUACUUUUGUUCCCACAAUUAUUACUAAUUUCUAAUUUUGAUCAUUACAGUAUAUGAUUUAAGUAUAUUUAAUUUUAAAUAAUUCUUGCAGACGAUGUAGUUUUGAUAGAUGAGACUCGAGGGGGUGUGAAUGACAAAUUAGAGGUGUGGAGGCAAACUCUUGAGUUUAAAGGGUUCAGGGUGAGCAGAAGCAAGACAGAGUAUGUGGAAUGCAAGUUUAAUGACGUGAGGCGGGAAAAUGAGGUAGUAGUGAAGCUGGAAGCACAGGAGGUAUGUAAGAGGGAUAAUUUCAAGUAUCUUGGGUCCGUGAUCCAGAGUAACGGUGAGAUUGACGAGGAUGUCUCGCACCGUAUUGGGGCGGGAUGGAUGAAGUGGAAGCUAGCGUCGGGGGUGCUGUGUGAUAAGAAGGUGCCGCCCAAGCUUAAAGGCAAAUUCUACAGGGUGGUAGUCCGUCCGACCUUGUUGUAUGGAGCGGAGUGUUGGCCAGUUAAGAACUCCCACAUCCAAAAAAUGAAGGUGGCAGAAAUGCGGAUGUUGCGCUGGAUGUGUGGGCUGACUAGAGGGGAUAGAGUUCGGAAUGAAACUAUCCGGGAGAAGGUUGGUGUGACUUCAGUGGAGUGCAAGAUGCGGGAAGCCCGAUUGAGAUGGUUCGGACACGUGAAAAGGAGGGGCAUGGAUGCCCCGGUCCGUAGGUGUGACAGGCUGGCGUUGGAUGGUUUUAGGCGGGGUAGGGGUAGGUCGAAGAAGUACUGGGGUGAGGUGAUUAGGCGGGACAUGGAGCAGUUACAGCUCACCGAGGACAUGACCCUAGAUAGGAAGGUCUGGAGGACGCGAAUUAGGGCAGAGGACUAGGGCCUGUAUUGGGUCGCUAGGGGAGGGGAUUACUUGGUGGGGGUUUUAUUCCUGUUAUGAUUCCGUGUUCCGUGUUCCAUGUUUUAUUACGAAUCUGUGUGCUUUCCUCUGCUUUCCUCUGUUUUGUAUUACUUAUGGGUGUCGUAUUUAUGUUAUGUAAUCUGCUUCUGUGCUUUACUAUGUGUUUGUGUGGUAUCUCGUGCCUUGAGCCGGGGGUCUAUCGGAAACAGCCUUUCUACUUCUUUAGAGGUAGAGGUAUGGACUGCGUACAUCUUACCCCCCAGACCCCAUU
rnacentral:lncRNA from 1 species